CGACCGCUGGCGGCGUGCUUACCACAUGCAAGUCGACCGGAAAGGCCCUGCUUUUGUGGGGUGCUCGAGUGGCGAACGGGUGAGUAACACGUGAGUAACCUGCCCUUGACUUUGGGAUAACUUCAGGAAACUGGGGCUAAUACCGGAUAGGAGCUCCUGCUGCAUGGUGGGGGUUGGAAAGUUUCGGCGGUUGGGGAUGGACUCGCGGCUUAUCAGCUUGUUGGUGGGGUAGUGGCUUACCAAGGCUUUGACGGGUAGCCGGCCUGAGAGGGUGACCGGCCACAUUGGGACUGAGAUACGGCCCAGACUCCUACGGGAGGCAGCAGUGGGGAAUAUUGCACAAUGGGCGGAAGCCUGAUGCAGCAACGCCGCGUGCGGGAUGACGGCCUUCGGGUUGUAAACCGCUUUCGCCUGUGACGAAGCGUGAGUGACGGUAAUGGGUAAAGAAGCACCGGCUAACUACGUG
rnacentral:rRNA from 1 species